UACGGAGGGUGCGAGCGUUGUCCGGAAUCAUUGGGCGUAAAGGGCGCGUAGGCGGCAUGGCAAGUCAGGAGUGAAAGGCCUGGGCUCAACCGAGGAACUGCUUUUGAUACUGCCAAGCUAGAGUGCGGAAGGGGCAACUGGAAUUCCCAGUGUAGCGGUGAAAAUUCGUAGAUAUCGGGGAGGAAACACCAGUGGCGAAGGCGGCGAUCUGGGAAGAUACGUGCAA
rnacentral:rRNA from 1 species